GUUGCGGUGGCCGAGUGGUUAAGGCGUUGGACUCGAAAGCCAAUUGGAUCUUCCCGCGCAGGUUCGAGUCCUUUCGGCAACG
rnacentral:tRNA from 1 species